rnacentral:rRNA from 1 species
GACGAACGCUGGCGGCGUGCUUAACACAUGCAAGUCGAACGGUGAAAGCGGAGCUUGCUCCGCUGGAUCAGUGGCGAACGGGUGAGUAUCACGUGGGCAACCUGCCCCUCACUUCGGGAUAACUCCGGGAAACCGGGGCUAAUACCGGAUAUGACCGCCUUGGGCAUCCUUGGCGGUGGAAAGUUUUUCGGUGAGGGAUGGGCCCGCGGCCUAUCAGCUUGUUGGUGAGGUAGUGGCUCACCAAGGCGACGACGGGUAGCCGGCCUGAGAGGGCGACCGGCCACACUGGGACUGAGACACGGCCCAGACUCCUACGGGAGGCAGCAGUGGGGAAUAUUGCGCAAUGGGCGAAAGCCUGACGCAGCAACGCCGCGUGCGGGAUGACGGCCUUCGGGUUGUAAACCGCUUUCAGCAGGGAAGAAGCCGCAAGGUGACGGUACCUGCAGAAGAAGCACCGGCUAACUACGUGCCAGCCGCCGCGGUAA